rnacentral:misc_RNA from 1 species
GUGGUUCCAUUUUAUCUGGUACGAAGGAAGUUCCUGGAAGUGCUUUUGCGCUGGUUAAUUAAAUUAAGAAUUUGAUGAGUAGAUGUUAGGAAAUGCAGGUUUCGCAAGUCUAUCGGGUAGCAAAUUGCAGCGCCGAUAGUCUAGUUGGGUUGGCUGACUCUUUUCCGCUGGGUACUCAUAUAUUCAAAGGCCACCGGAUUUGCAGUGGUUAGCUCAUAUGAUAAAGCUGGAGUUGCUUACCCAAGAGCCAGUGCG